ensembl:processed_transcript predicted gene 44641
GAGGGAAGGGUCCUGGCCGCUCCAGUCAGCAGUGGGAAUGGUAACAGCUCCCCACAUUCUGUUGUUUGUCAUGCAUUGUUUUAGGUGACUCUACUGGAUUUCGGUGCAAGCCGGGCCUUUGGGACAGAGUUCACGGACCAUUAUAUUGAGGUGGUGAAGGCUGCAGCAGAUGGAGACAGGGAUCGAGUUCUACAGAAAUCCCAGGACCUCAAGUUCCUUACAGGCUUUGAAACCAAGGGUGGACCCAGGAGACCUGAUCAGCAUUUGUCCCCAGCCCCCUGUGGGGCCUCGGGGCCCCCUGAAACCUUCAGGACGGAGUCAG